rnacentral:rRNA from 1 species
AUUGAACGCUGGCGGCAAGCCUAACACAUGCAAGUCGAACGAGUGGCGGACGGAUGAGUAAUGUCUGGGAAACUGCCUGAUGGAGGGGGAUAACUACUGGAAACGGUAGCUAAUACCGCAUACCAUCGGAUGUGCCCAGAGGGGAUUAGCUAGUAGGUGGGGUAAAAGUGCACCUAGGCGACUAUCCCUAGCUGGUCUGAGAGGAUGACCAGGCACACUGGAACUUAGGCACGGUCCAGACUCCUACGGGAGGCAGCAGUGGGGAAUAUUGGACAAUGGGCGCAAGCCUGAUGCAGCCAUGCCGCGUGUAUGAAGAAGGCCUUCGGGUUGUAAAGUACUUUCAGCUGUGAGGCGUUACCAGCAGAAGAAGCACCGGCUAACUCCGUGCCAGCAGCCGCGGUAAUUC